rnacentral:rRNA from 1 species
GACGAACGCUGGCGGCGUGCUUAACACAUGCAAGUCGAACGGAAAGGCCCCUUUGGGGGUACUCGAGUGGCGAACGGGUGAGUAACACGUGAGUAACCUGCCCUUGACUUCGGGAUAACUUCAGGAAACUGGGGCUAAUACCGGAUAGGAAUCCUUGCUGCAUGGUGGGGGUUGGAAAGCUUCGGCGGUUUUGGAUGGACUCGCGGCUUAUCAGCUUGUUGGUGGGGUAGUGGCUUACCAAGGCUUUGACGGGUAGCCGGCCUGAGAGGGCGACCGGCCACAUUGGGACUGAGGUACGGCCCAGACUCCUACGGGAGGCAGCAGUGGGGAAUAUUGCACAAUGGGCGGAAGCCUGAUGCAGCAACGCCGCGUGCGGGAGGACGGCCUUCGGGUUGUAAACCGCUUUCAGCAGGGGCGAAGCUUGUGGUGACGGUACCUGCAGAAGAAGCACCGGCUAACUACGUG